rnacentral:sRNA from 1 species
AUGUCCUUUAAGCUAGUCCCGUGAGGCUAGAAAGGUAACGGAGAAAUUGCCCGGUUUGGGCCACCGUUGAACCCUUCACUUGCGGAAUGCGAGUGGAGGGUUUUCUU